UACGUAGGGCGCGAGCGUUGUCCGGAUUUAUUGGGCGUAAAGAGCUCGUAGGCGGCUUGUCGCGUCGACUGUGAAAACCCGCGGCUCAACCGUGUGGUCUGCAGUCGAUACGGGCAGGCUAGAGUUCGGUAGGGGAUCACGGAAUUCCUGGUGUAGCGGUGAAAUGCGCAGAUAUCAGGAGGAACACCGGUGGCGAAGGCGGUGAUCUGGGCCGACACUGACGCUGUAGAGCGAAAGCGUGGGGAGCGAACAGG
rnacentral:rRNA from 1 species